UUCAUUUCUGCCUUCAUGGGGUUGUCUUGACAAGCUUUGCUCAGAAAGGGGUUGAGAGAGUGUGGCUUGGCCAGUGGGUCUCAUGGCUGAACCAGGACUCGAACCCUGGUCUCCAGCAGUCAGGCCACGCUGGCUCUCAGCAGCACUAGGCCUCCUACAAGGGAACUGAAAAGAGAGGCCCUGUUCUUGGCGGGAGAUAUAUUGGCAGGACGCUUGUGUUCCUCCUAUAGUCUUCCCCCAGGGAUGGAACAUUGUAUGCGUAGAAGAAGGCGAUCUUGCUGUGAAUCUAUCUGCAUCAUCAAGUAUACAGGAGAAAAAUUUACUGCACACCUGUGAAGAAGUCACUUGUAUCUAUCAUGGCGUUCCCAGAGCCAAAACCCAAAAAACCUGAGUUGCCAAAGAAACUGUUUGGUACACUGGAAUGUAAACAGGGAGCUGUCAGAGCAGUGAGAUUCAAUGUGGAUGGAAAUUAUUGUCUCACCUGUGGCAGUGACAAGUCACUUAAACUAUGGAACCCCCACAAAGGGACUCUCCUUAAAACAUACAGUGGCCACGGCUAUGAAGUCCUGGAUGCAGCAGGGUCAUUUGAUAACAGCCAGGUUUGUUCAUGUGGAGCAGAUAAGACAGUGGUGUUAUGGGAUGUUGCUACAGGGCAAGUGAUUCGCAAGUUCCGUGGCCAUGCAGGGAAGGUAAACUGUGUCCUGUUCAAUGAGGAGGCAACUGUAAUCCUUUCAGGUUCUAUUGACUCCAGUGUUCGCUGCUGGGACUGUCGCUCACGCAGACCAGAUCCCAUCCAGAUACUAGAUGAGGCCAAGGAUGGUGUCUCUAGUUUGAAGGUGUCAGACCAUGAAAUCCUUUCAGGUUCUGUGGAUGGGCGUAUUCGGCGCUAUGACCUCCGUGCUGGGGAGCUUUACUCAGAUUACAUUGGAAGCCCAAUCACCUGUGUGUGUUUUAGCAAAGAUGGGCAGUGUACUUUGGCUUCUACUUUGGAUUCUGCACUACGAUUGCUGGACAAGGAGACAGGCGAGCUACUAGGAGAAUAUAGUGGUCACAAAAAUAUAACAUACAAGAUGGACUGUUGCCUGAGUGAGAGAGAUACACAUGUUGGCAGCUGUUCUGAGGAUGGGAAGGUGUAUUUCUGGGACCUGGUUGAGGGAUCCCUUGCCCUGGCUUUGCCAGUGAGCAAAAGUGCAGUUCAGUCUCUGUCCUUCCAUCCUACGGAGACUUGCCUUCUCACUGCUGCCGAGGGUCUGGUCCAGCUUUGGAGGGAAGACUCUUACGUUGCUGAGGAAAGAAUACCUGCUUGAAUAUUAUUGUCCUGUUCUGAGCAGAUGACCUCAGCUGGAGAGAGAAGGAAAUCUCUGGCAUGCCUCUCUUCAGAAGCACACAGAUGUAUUUAUUUGCUUUGUGGAUCCUACACUGUUAGCCUGUGUGUCCAAGUCCACCAGUCAGCAUUCCCUCUUCCUUCUCCAUCAAGUUAUAACCAGAAGAGCAUUGCUGGAUUGAACCACAGGCCUGUGCAGCGCUUUUGUUCCCACAGUGGCCAAUCAGAUGCCCAUGGAAAGGCCACAGGCAGGACAAGGAAUCAAUUAGCACCCUGCCUGUGCCUGGUAUUGAGAGACACUGGGGACAUGUUUAUGCAUCAUGAGUAAUAACCAUCAAUAGUUCUGGCCUCUUGUCUAAUCCCAUCUUAAAGCCGAGUCAGCAACCAUUACCUCAUCUUGUGGCAAACUAUAAUUGAAACACUGCACUGUACAAAAUACUGUAUUUCCACUUCUCUCUCCUUGCUUUCCUGUCCUUCAGAUUUGUUGAUGAUUUGAGCCCAUUCUACUUUAACACUGAUCAUUGUUCUAUGUUGGCCUUGUGUACACAAAGAUAAUAGUCUUGAGUGAAGAAACAGGGCUGGAACUCAGUCAUAGGUCACCAAACUGGGCAGCUCAGUUCAUUACAUCAUAUCCUGGAAAGGAGCACCUGUUUUGCCACGUUGUUUGAACCAGCUUUACAGGUUUGGAAAACCAACUGCCUGUUGCUCUGUCAAGGUCUGUCUGAUUGCAGUGAGAAAUAUGCAAGGGAAUAGAGAGCUAGGAGCCUAGAAUCAGCAUUACAUUAAUUUUAAAGAAGUCUCUCCACAGCACAGAUAGAGUGGCAGGCAUCUUCCUUUCCACACUCCCAUUUGUAGUCCUGAUGCAACUGUGGAGGAUCUUACCACCACUCCUCUAGAGCAUCCACAGGAGCUCAAAUUCUGUUUGCUAUUAUCUAUCUUUGUGAGUCAGGGUUUUCAGCACUUAUAGCCAUUAAAACAAAAGGCUGAAAUGUGUUCGGUGUCAAAAACCACUUCACAAUUUCAGCUUCUUAUUCUGCCCAAACAGCUGCAGCCUUUUCCUUAAACUUUAUUUUUUCUUAUAUUUGCACAAUUUGGAUUUACUGUAUUAAUUUUUGCAUGAGAAAAAGAGAGGAGUCAGUAUCUAGUAAAUACUUAUCUUUAUUCCAUCUGUGUGAAGGAAAUCAAUUUCCAAUGCAAUGAAAUUAAGUUUAUGCAAAACUGUGUUCUAGGUGGAUCCAUAGCUUUUAUCAGAUUCCCAAAGAGGACUAUGAUCCAGGAAAAGGUUAAGAUGCACUAUGCUGGUCAGUUUAAGCAGGGAAACAUGAGCUGAAAACAGUGCACGUGGCUUUUGUUCUUUCGCACUAGGUAAGAAGCAAGGUACAGUCAGUUGGCAUAUGGUACUGAGGACACUCAGGUAAGGCCAGUGUCAGCAUCCAGCAUCAGAUUGUCUGUGCCAAGAAAGUGAUCAGCCUCAGAAUUACUAGCUGAUCUAUUACUUCAUCUUGGCUUACAUGCUGAGUGACAUUUUGGUGCAUAAACAGCAGCAGUGUUCAAAGGGAUCGAAGGGUGCUGUCUAUAAAGGAAGUGACAAGCAAAGAACAGCUGAGUGCAACAACCACUGCUGGGGGCAGCAAAUGAGGAUCAGAAAAAAGGGGUCAGCAUCUUAGAUAGAGGAACAUCACUUUCAGUUUCAGAUGUCAAGGAGACAGAAGGUUAAUUACAGAAGACCAGGGGCUGUCCAGGUGAGUGUGACUGUCUUUCCCCAGCUUGGACAGUAACUAGAUCUGUGCCUGUUCUCCAAAUCUGAAAAACACUGAUUAUUUAGUGCACUUCAGAUUAAAAUUAAAUUAAGGCAGCCCCCCUAGACUAUACCCCUCACUGCAGUCCCCAGAAUUUCACCAAGAUACAGAUAUCUAGUAAAGGUGCUGGCUGAAGAACCAGAAAACUCUGUCUUGAAACAGUAACUGAAUAUUAGAAAGUAAAAUAAGGUGGAUUUGAUAAGGGAGUUAAGAAGGCACCAUAGUUGAGUUCUUGGACGAUGUGUAUUUUAAUCUCUCUCUUUUUUUUUUAAAUAUGGUAAUUGAACUCUGGCUCAACCCGUGGUGGUGAAAACAAAGUAUGUUGUUGGGUAAAAGUGGAGAGAAGAAAUAGAGGUUUGUGGAGCUUAUUUUAAUUUUGGGGAAUCUAUUGGUUUUACUGGCUAAAUCAAAGUGGGGAGUGCCAUGGCACUAGGCAGAAUGGGGCUGUAAUUUUAAGUUAUUUUGGAUGUUACGGAAGAAGACAAGUUGUAUUACAUUAACUCUUAGAAAUAGGUACUUGUGGGAUUUCUGCUUCAUGUACCAAAAUAACCUCACCAGUUUUGGGUAAUAUGCUAUUGAUUUGAGGUGGAGUGCUAUUUUAUGUUCUCUGUAUUUCUCAGGCUUGUACUAGGAAAGACUCCACAGUGUUGUAAUUCUAAUACCAGUUAUCACACUUAAUGAUAGUCUGUUGUACAUACACAUCAUGAUACAAAGCUUGGUUGAGUAACAAUAUUCAACCUGAGCAUCUGAAAAAGAGCAGCAAACAAUAUUACCUGUGCUUUUAUGUGCAUCAGUGCAAAAUUGUUCCCUCCCAGUCAGAAGUAGUUAUCUUUCAUCUGGCAAUCCAACUUCUUUGGGGGAGGGAGGGGUAGUUCUAUUGUUUCCUGCUAAUCCAGUGUUUCUGCCCUAUUGGAGAAUCUGGCUUGGAUGUCUGCAAAGGCAGAGUUGCACUAUCAGUCAGGGACACCAGACAACCGAACGGCUGCAAGCUGAAGUUCACUUGGAAAGAAUGAAGGUAAAUGUAGAAUUGAUUAAUAAGUCUCACACAGAUUGAGGAUUUGAGAAAAUUCAUAGCUUCUUCCAGAAAAGCUCCAAAUUAGUGAACAGUAUAAAUUAUCCUGCAUACACUGUGUAUUGCUAAUUGGCCAGGGAUUUGGAAUUUAAUCAAGAUUAGAAGUGUUGUAUAUAGCUUGUUGCUGCUGCCCAAACCAGCAGCUUGUUGGGUUUGUUAGAAAAUAUAGCUACUAUCCUCCAUUUCAAGGUGAUUGAGUAAAUUAGAGUGAUGCCCAGGAAAGAAACAGGAGGCUACUCUAUAAAUUUGUAGUAUAAAGGAGCAAGUGUAAGGCUGUUAAGGACUAAAUUCAAUUUAGUCCCAACUAUAGCAAGUCAACGCUUAUCCAUUGAUUCAAUGGGUCACCUCUAACUAGGGAUAGCCCCUGAUUUAGGCCCAAGUAUUACUUAUAAAGUACUCCAAACAUAAUCUGGAUACAAUUAGGACCUUUUUCAUGCUUAAAAAUCAUGACUAUAUGUGUAGUUAGUUGCAACUAACUCAACCCCUCUUAGGUUGAAAAGGACUUUGGAAUGACUGAUUUUCUCUGGAACAGGGUGAACAUUAUUUAUUUAUUUACAUGCCUUGAGCACAAAUUAUUCUUCAAGACAAAUCCGUACAAUACCAUAAGGCAGAUGCUGGUAUCUCUGUAUUCCAGCUGGGUGACUAAAGAAGGGCUUGUUUGAACAGACCAAGUGAAGUCAAGAGAGAAAUGAGAUUUAAACCACAGUUCUUGGACUGUAGUUUACUCUUAGCCCAUACGCCAGACUACUGUUUUUUUUUUCUGUUAAUUGACCAAAUAUCAUAAUGAAAUUAAGGAUACCUGAGGAUUCCAAAAUCACCUUUCCAAAACAGGGAAGAUCCAACUUUGUAACCAAGUCUAGAACAGUUCUAUUUCUCCAUCCGAAGAAAUAGCUAAACCCUCCGAUUUUUCUUUCCAUGCAGGUCUUCAAAGCAGCUGGUGACUUGCUGCAGUAUUGUUGGGAAUAUGCCAAAUAUGAUCCAUUUCUGACUGGCAUUCUACCCUCAACCAAUCCAAGAAGAAAAAAACAUUUUCUGUCCUAUGUGCACAUUAAACACCAUGCAUUCAUGGAACAGUCUGUGAUAAUUUCCCUGUCCUUCCAUGUAACUAACAUAUACAAUACAUUAAGGUGAAGGUCAUACAGAGUAGUGAAAACCUAUUUCUAAAAUAAUUUUCUGCUCUUUUGUUAUGCUUGUGUGUAUUUUAUUGUCAUGGUUCUGUUUUAUAGUUAUUAGCUACCCAGGAAUCAAAGAAAGGCAAGAGCAGCUUCAUAUUUCAUCCCAUUUGCUAUUAACCAAAUAUAUAAUUUCCCAAAAUAUUUCUAUUUUGAAACCUGGACCUUUUAGCAAAUUCUGCAAUGCUCACUACUGGUGUCUGUAAUAUGAAUGGUGAACACUAUCCAUCUUAGGGAUUUCAGUUGCUGACACAUAUAAACCUGGUUCUUCUAAACAUGGGGUGGAGAGAUUCCACUUUGGGGGGGGUAUCUAAUGAAUGGUGAGGGUUUUAGCAUAUUAUAUGCUUUUGCAAAUAAACUUCCUUGUACUCUUGAGCUAAAAAAGGCAACAACCUAAAACAGGCAAAUAAAAAAGACACUGUGGUGUUCGUUCCUUUGUAC